rnacentral:rRNA from 1 species
UUUAAAGAGAGUUUGAUCCUGGCUCAGGACGAACGCUGGCGGCGUGCCUAAUACAUGCAAGUCGAACGAACGGAGGAAGAGCUUGCUCUUCCAAUGUUAGUGGCGGACGGGUGAGUAACACGUGGGCAACCUGCCUGUAAGUUGGGGAUAACUCCGGGAAACCGGGGCUAAUACCGAAUGAUAAGAUGUGGCGCAUGCCACGCCUUUGAAAGAUGGUUUCGGCUAUCGCUUACAGAUGGGCCCGCGGUGCAUUAGCUAGUUGGUAGGGUAAUGGCCUACCAAGGCAACGAUGCAUAGCCGACCUGAGAGGGUGAUCGGCCACACUGGGACUGAGACACGGCCCAGACUCCUACGGGAGGCAGCAGUAGGGAAUCUUCCGCAAUGGACGAAAGUCUGACGGAGCAACGCCGCGUGUAUGAAGAAGGUUUUCGGAUCGUAAAGUACUGUUGUUAGAGAAGAACAAGGAUAAGAGUAACU